UUCUGAUCACUGCGCGCCCCUAUAUAGACGCGAUUGACAUGUUCCUGAAAUCUCGAACCGGUCGACCAAGAUUUUUUUUACCCCAUCCUCUCCCUAACCUCCCGUACCCCCGGCCUUCUCACCAUCCUUUCCCAAAUCGCCGAGACACCUCACACGUCGCCGGCGCCCCUCCAGCAUGGACGACGCCCCUCCUUGCCUGCGGCCGGCGUGCCACCUCCCCUUCUCCCCAACGGCCAGUGCGCCUUCUUCCGCUCGACAGGGGCACCUCCUCCGCCAUGGCCGGCGAGCCUCCCCCGCCGCCACCCUGGGAUCCAGCCACCGCAGGGCCCCGGAACCCCGUGUAAUGUUCGCCGGGCCCUGGAUCCCCGUGCGCCGCCGCAAGGCCCUGGAUCCCGAGCGUCGCCGCCGCCGGGGUCCUUUCUCGCCUGCUCCAUCACCGCUGGGACCUCGGGCCCCUUGUGCGCCGCCGGGACCCCCACAUGCUGCAGCAGACCGUGCCACCCCAUCACCCGCGCUUCACCUCUUCCCCGAGCUUCCCUGAGUGGCCCUGCCCCUGAGCCACACCUCGCGACUGCGGGGCUCAUGCCACAUCACCUCCCCCAAGUUCGUGCGCCACUACCAAGAAAAGGAAGAGGAGUAAUGACUGACCGGUGGCGAUGCAAUGCGGCGAGCAGAACAAUGUGAUGUAGGGAUGCAUGGGACAGGUUAGUUGGAGCCUGCAGCCUGCAGGCAUGGGUGUCGAGCUGCUAAUACAUUUGGGUGGCUCGUAAUGUACUUGAUCGAAUGUUACUACUGCUACAAACAUGUGUAUUAUUUUUGGUAUCUCGCUUUUACAUUUUUAUGCUAAAAUUUCUACCCGCUUCUUC